rnacentral:rRNA from 1 species
CAUGCAGUCGAGGGGUAACAGAGGUAGCUUGCUACUUGCUGACGACCGGCGCACGGGUGCGUAACGCGUAUAGAAUCUACCUUAUACUGGGGGAUAGCCUUUGGAAACGAAGAUUAAUACCCCAUAGUAUGUUUGAAUGGCAUCAUUUGGACAUUAAAGUUUCGGCGGUAUAAGAUGACUAUGCGUUCUAUUAGUUUGUUGGUAAGGUAACGGCUUACCAAGACUACGAUAGAUAGGGGUCCUGAGAGGGAGAUCCCCCACACUGGUACUGAGACACGGACCAGACUCCUACGGGAGGCAGCAGUGAGGAAUAUUGGACAAUGGAGGCAACUCUGAUCCAGCCAUGCCGCGUGUAGGAAGACUGCCCUAUGGGUUGUAAACUACUUUUAUAUGGGAAGAAUAAGGUCUACGUGUAGACUGAUGACGGUACCAUAAGAAUAAGCACCGGCUAACUCCGUGCCAGCAGCCGCGGUAAUACGGAGGGUGCAAGCGUUAUCCGGAAUCAUUGGGUUUAAAGGGUCCGUAGGCGGGCAUAUAAGUCAGUGGUGAAAGUCUGUGGCUCAACCAUAGAAUUGCCAUUGAUACUGUAUGUCUUGAAUUAUUGUGAAGUGGUUAGAAUAUGUAGUGUAGCGGUGAAAUGCUUAGAGAUUACAUAGAAUACCGAUUGCGAAGGCAGAUCACUAACAAUAUAUUGACGCUGAUGGACGAAAGCGUAGGUAGCGAACAGGAUUAGAUACCCUGGUAGUCUACGCCGUAAACGAUGGAUACUAGUUGUUUGGUUUUCGGACUGAGUGACUAAGCGAAAGUGAUA